ensembl:lncRNA
CACACCACUCUACCUGUGAGAUCUUAGUUCUCUGACCAGGGAUAGAACCCAGGCUUGUGGAAGUGGAAGCGUGGAGCCCUAACCACUGGGCAUCCAGGGACUUCCCUACAGUGUUUAUUGAAGGGUUUCUGGCUUGGCAAGUCAUACUCCCACCCCUCCACAUUUGCUCAAACCAUUAAGGCAUAGUAUUAAGAGCUCCAGCAAUAUGCUAGGUAUUGUGUGAACACUAAAGAAAUACUGGAUACUUCCCAAUAAAUUUUACAUUCAGUUUUCCCCCUGAGUUUCUGCCCUGAACCUCCUUUUAUGAUACAUUCUUUCUCUUAGAAGGCAGAAUUGCUCUGAGAGGGCGCCAUCUUAACAACUAGCGGUUUCUGUACAAACAGCGGUUAACAGUCCACUUGGCGUGCAGUGACGGCAGCAAAACUGCUUGAGGUAAAAGUGUGAGAGCUGAAUCCCAGCCAGAAGCAAGAAAAGGAAGGAGAAGCUUUCCUACUGGACAGGGAUGUUUUGCCUCCAUUUUACAGAAGAGGAGAUGGAAAUGAAGAGGUGGAAAAACGUCUGCAGGAUCGCAGAGUAAGAGAUGAAGCUAAGAGCAGAUGCAGGUUUCCUCCCCAACCGCGUUAUAGUAAGACAGGAGUAGAUGAUGCAUCUGAUUUGUUGUUGUUGUUGAGUCACUAAGUCACGUACGUCUCUCUGUGACCCCAUGGACUGCAGCACGCCAGUCUCCCCUGUCCUCCACCGUCUCCUGGAGUUUGCCGAAGUUCAUGUCCAUUGAGUCAGUGAAGCCAUCCAACCAUCUCAUCCUCUGUCGUCCCUUUCCCCUUUUUACUUCUGCUAUUUCUGAUAUCGACCCCAAAGAUACAUUUCUCCUUAGAAAGCAUCAUGGGGCUGAAAUGCACCCUUCCUGUCUGACAUGUACAGAGACUGUAACUUUUUUCUUUUGAAUAACAGGCCUCAUAUGGCUCUGAAGUCUGAUGAUUGUGUGUGUAUGUGUGUGUGUGUGGUGUGUAGUUGAAGGAUGAGAUAUGGGAGGGAAUACUUAAUGAAUGUAACUUAGUCUCUCCUGGUUUAAAACAUUCUCUCCGAUGAAAAUUAGCAUACGCAUACAGCACACAUAUUAUAUAUACACACAUACAGUGAAUGUUGUAUAUAUGGUGUACUGAUCCAUGUUUAAC